CAUUCGAAUUUACCCCGCGGGAAAAUUUCCUCCGUCCCUCGAGUCGCGUCGCGUCGUUGCUCUGCCCACCACCACCGGCGACGCUGCCUCUCUGAGCGACCCUCCCUCAGCCCAAACCAAGAUUGCGCAAUUUGAAAAGGUAAGCGGAGACUGAUUUAUUCUCUGCCUUGUGAGGAUGUAAGUACCACGUAAUUACUCUACCCAGCAACGCCCCCGUCGACCCUCCCAUCCUCUCCCCGAGUCUCCUCGUGCGGCUUCCUCGCCCUCCCCGAGAUUUUCUUGGAUUUUCACUGCAAAUAGUUAAUACUAGUGAUUUACACUAGUAAAUCAGACAAGCUCAAGAAAUGGUUCUCGUUGAUUGAUGCGGUAACGUGGGUUCUACUAACUGUUAAAAAACUUCGAGAGUCUUCUCUUAUUAGCAGCGAGUUGCAUAGGACACUAUAUGGCUUUAUUCUAUUUGAAGUUUCAUGGAACAAUGUCCAAGGCAUCAACUACUUGAAUGAGCUUCAGGGAAGACACUACUUGCAAAAACACUAGCUCGAUUUGUGAAUGUGCCCUUUGUCAUCACUGAUGCAACAACUUUGACACAGUUGUGUCAAGAAGUGCUGCUGCAAGAUGGGUAGAGGAAAGAUUGAGAUCAAGAUGAUCGAGAACGUACACUACCAAUCGUCAAGUCACCUUCUGCAAGCGGAGAAAUGAACUCUUGAAGAAAGCUUGUGCUAUUGCUUGCUUGUCUCUUGCAGAGUAUAAUAUAUAGAAUGAACAUCACCUCAAUUUGACCCAGAAAAAAAUAUGAUAUAGCCAAUGGCUUCUAACAAAAGACAAGCAUGUCUGGGAAUGUUGAGAAGGCCAUCCAGAGAAGUUAUGGGCUCUUCCCUGCUAUGAAAAUCUUCAAGAGAUCUGGGUUUGAAUUAAGGUAAACAUUCCACCAAAUAUUUUGAAUGGCUUUGUGGCACUUCUUUCGGAUGGAGGAUUUUGACAAGAUUGGAAGCGAAGACAUGACCAGGAUAUAUUUUCAUUUGCUAUAUAUUUAGUUCUUGUAUAACUUUAAUUUUGGUAUGUGGUUGCUAAGCAUGCACUGAUUGUAAGUGAUUGUAAGAGGGAAAUAAAAGGGAAAUGAGACCUGUAAUAUACACAUUGUUUACUUUGUGUUUCAUUUGCUGUAAUAUUUGUGAGAUGAAUGAAAAAUAA